UGAAAAAAAACAUAAGGGAAAUAAUAGAAAAACACACAUACAUUUUAAUGUCAUGUAUAUCCUCUUUAUUGAUGAUUGAUCAUUGUUAACUUUCAUCGCAUCAGUGGUGCAGUGGAGUGUACUCAUUGAUAAGUUCGGAGGUUAAUGCUCCAAACAGCUCAGGUUCGGAUCCCUGCAAAAACAACGGCAGGGGUACUGCUGUCGUUUUUUAUCGGUCGUCAUGAAAAAAACAUAAGGGGUAACACUGUCGUUUUUUAUCGGUCGUCAUGAAAAAAAACAUAAGGGGUAACUCUGUUGUUUUUUAUCGGCCGUCAUGAAAUAAACAUAAGGGGUUAAACCUGUCGAUAUUGAUCAAAUAAAACAUAGGGGGUAACACUGUUGUUUUUCUUUGGUCGUCAUGAAAAAAAACACAAGGGGUAACACUGUUGUUUUAAUCAAAUGAAACAUGAGGGGUAACACUGUCGUUUUUAUCAAAUGAAACAUAAGGGGUAACACUGUCGUUUUUUAUCGGUCGUCAUGAAAAAAACAUAAGGGGUAACACUGUUGUUUUUUAUUGGUCGUCAUGAAGAAAAACAUAAGUGGUCACACUGUUGUCUUUGUCAAAUAAAAUAUAAGGGUAACACUGUUGUUUUUCAUCAGUCAUCAUGGAAAAAAAACAUAAGGGAUAACACUGUCGUUUUUAUCAAAUGAAACGUAAAGGGUAACACCGUAUAGAAUAGAAUAGAAACACACACACACACACACACACACACACACACACACACACACACACACACACACACACACACACACACACACACACACACACACACACACACACACACACACACACACACACACACACACACACACACACACACACACACCCCAAUCA